UUAAUUGAAACCAAAAUAGAGGUAUAUUAAUGUUAAUAAUAAGAUUGAAAAUUAAUAUUUUCCAAUUAAA
rnacentral:tRNA from 1 species